rnacentral:lncRNA from 13 species
UUGGGAAAUUGGACCAAUGGAAAUUAUGUUCAGUGGCUUGCAGAUGUACCUAAUUAACCAGCCAGAUUAGAAGGGGCUAGGAUUCCUUUGUAAGGCGCAGCAAAAAAAGACAAUCAGAUACAAUAUCAGGGAUCUCCUGGUAAGGCUUCUGGCUACCAUUAGUUCUGAAUACUGAGGAUUUGAUGAGAAAAAUGGCUGUGAGUUUUGAAAUGUCUUUGAGAAUUUCUUGGAUUUGUUGCCUGCUAAUUGGAGGGAUAACCUGUUAUCCUCCACCUAAAGGUAAUUAUAGAUAUAUUCCCCAAAAUCAAUUAAAAGGAACUGGCCACAAUGCAGGUGAAGCUACCGGCUCCCGUGUCUCGGCAGGUGAAGCAGCCACCCAUAAUGCCUCUGCAAGCGUCACGACUGGCCCAAAUACAUUAGCUGAAGCAACUGGCCACAAUGCUUCAUCAAGCGCCACGACUGGCCACAAUGNNNNNNNNNNAAGGUCCAUACAGAAACAGUUUGGUGUGGAAGAA